UUUGGUUAAGUUAGAAAGGGCGCACGGUGGAUGCCUUGACACUAGGAGUCGAUGAAGGACGGGACUAACGCCGAUAUGCUUCGGGGAGCUGUAAGUAAGCUUUGAUCCGAAGAUUUCCGAAUGGGGAAACCCACCAUACGUAAUGGUAUGGUAUCCUUAUCUGAAUACAUAGGGUAAGGAAGACAGACCCAGGGAACUGAAACAUCUAAGUACCUGGAGGAAGAGAAAGCAAAUGCGAUUUCCUGAGUAGCGGCGAGCGAAACGGAACAUAGCCCAAACCAAGAGGCUUGCCUCUUGGGGUUGUAGGACAUUCUAUACGGAGUUACAAAGGAACGAGGUAGACGAAGCGACCUGGAAAGGUCCGUCGUAGAGGGUAACAACCCCGUAGUCGAAACUUCGUUCUCUCUUGAAUGUAUCCUGAGUACGGCGGAACACGUGAAAUUCCGUCGGAAUCUGGGAGGACCAUCUCCCAAGGCUAAAUACUCCCUAGUGAUCGAUAGUGAACCAGUACCGUGAGGGAAAGGUGAAAAGCACCCCGGAAGGGGAGUGAAAGAGAUCCUGAAACCGUGUGCCUACAAAUAGUCAGAGCCCGUUAACGGGUGAUGGCGUGCCUUUUGUAGAAUGAACCGGCGAGUUACGAUCCCGUGCGAGGUUAAGCUGAAGAGGCGGAGCCGCAGCGAAAGCGAGUCUGAAUAGGGCGUUUAGUACGUGGUCGUAGACCCGAAACCAGGUGAUCUACCCAUGUCCAGGGUGAAGUUCAGGUAACACUGAAUGGAGGCCCGAACCCACGCACGUUGAAAAGUGCGGGGAUGAGGUGUGGGUAGCGGAGAAAUUCCAAUCGAACCUGGAGAUAGCUGGUUCUCCCCGAAAUAGCUUUAGGGCUAGCCUUAAGUGUAAGAGUCUUGGAGGUAGAGCACUGAUUGGACUAGGGGUCCUCAUCGGAUUACCGAAUUCAGUCAAACUCCGAAUGCCAAUGACUUAUCCUUAGGAGUCAGACUGCGAGUGAUAAGAUCCGUAGUCAAAAGGGAAACAGCCCAGACCGCCAGCUAAGGUCCCAAAGUGUGUAUUAAGUGGAAAAGGAUGUGGAGUUGCUUAGACAACUAGGAUGUUGGCUUAGAAGCAGCCACCAUUUAAAGAGUGCGUAAUAGCUCACUAGUCGAGUGACUCUGCGCCGAAAAUGUACCGGGGCUAAAUACACCACCGAAGCUGCGGAUUGAUACCAAUGGUAUCAGUGGUAGGGGAGCGUUCUAAGGACAGUGAAGUCAGACCGGAAGGACUGGUGGAGUGCUUAGAAGUGAGAAUGCCGGUAUGAGUAGCGAAAGACGGGUGAGAAUCCCGUCCACCGAAUGCCUAAGGUUUCCUGAGGAAGGCUCGUCCGCUCAGGGUUAGUCAGGACCUAAGCCGAGGCCGACAGGCGUAGGCGAUGGACAACAGGUUGAUAUUCCUGUACCACCUCUUUAUCGUUUGAGCAAUGGAGGGACGCAGAAGGAUAGAAGAAGCGUGCGAUUGGUUGUGCACGCACCAAGCAGUUAGGCUGAUAAGUAGGAAAAUCCGCUUAUCGUGAAGGCUGAGCUGUGAUGGGGAAGCUCCUUAUGGAGCGAAGUCUUUGAUUCCCCGCUGCCAAGAAAAGCUUCUAGCGAGAUAAAAGGUGCCUGUACCGCAAACCGACACAGGUAGGCGAGGAGAGAAUCCUAAGGUGUGCGAGAGAACUCUGGUUAAGGAACUCGGCAAAAUGACCCCGUAACUUCGGGAGAAGGGGUGCUUUCUUAACGGAAAGCCGCAGUGAAUAGGCCCAAGCGACUGUUUAGCAAAAACACAGCUCUCUGCGAAGCCGUAAGGCGAAGUAUAGGGGGUGACACCUGCCCGGUGCUGGAAGGUUAAGGAGAGGGGUUAGCGUAAGCGAAGCUCUGAACUGAAGCCCCAGUAAACGGCGGCCGUAACUAUAACGGUCCUAAGGUAGCGAAAUUCCUUGUCGGGUAAGUUCCGACCCGCACGAAAGGUGUAACGAUUUGGGCACUGUCUCAACCAGAGACUCGGUGAAAUUAUAGUACCUGUGAAGAUGCAGGUUACCCGCGACAGGACGGAAAGACCCCGUGGAGCUUUACUGUAGCCUGAUAUUGAAUUUUGGUACAGUUUGUACAGGAUAGGCGGGAGCCAUUGAAACCGGAGCGCUAGCUUCGGUGGAGGCGCUGGUGGGAUACCGCCCUGACUGUAUUGAAAUUCUAACCUACGGGUCUUAUCGACCCGGGAGACAGUGUCAGGUGGGCAGUUUGACUGGGGCGGUCGCCUCCUAAAGUGUAACGGAGGCGCCCAAAGGUUCCCUCAGAAUGGUUGGAAAUCAUUCGUAGAGUGCAAAGGCAUAAGGGAGCUUGACUGCGAGACCUACAAGUCGAGCAGGGACGAAAGUCGGGCUUAGUGAUCCGGUGGUUCCGCAUGGAAGGGCCAUCGCUCAACGGAUAAAAGCUACCCCGGGGAUAACAGGCUUAUCCCCCAAGAGUCCACAUCGACGGGGAGGUUUGGCACCUCGAUGUCGGCUCAUCGCAUCCUGGGGCUGUAGUCGGUCCCAAGGGUUGGGCUGUUCGCCCAUUAAAGCGGUACGCGAGCUGGGUUCAGAACGUCGUGAGACAGUUCGGUCCCUAUCCGUCGUGGGCGUAGGAAAUUUGAGAGGAGCUGUCCUUAGUACGAGAGGACCGGGAUGGACGCACCGCUGGUGUACCAGUUGUUCUGCCAAGGGCAUAGCUGGGUAGCUAUGUGCGGAAGGGAUAAGUGCUGAAAGCAUCUAAGCAUGAAGCCCCCCUCAAGAUGAGAUUUCCCAUAGCGUAAGCUAGUAAGAUCCCUGAAAGAUGAUCAGGUUGAUAGGUUCGAGGUGGAAGCAUGGUGACAUGUGGAGCUGACGAAUACUAAUAGAUCGAGGACUUAACCAUAUAA
rnacentral:rRNA from 1 species